CGUUAGGUGGAUGACUUGGCUUAAAAUGCUGAAGAAGGACGUGGCAAGCUGCGAUAAGCUUUGGCGAGGCGCAUGCAGCCCUUGAACCAAAGAUUUCUGAAUGGGACAUCCCAUUAAAUCCGAAAGGAUAAGGAACACGAGGAAUUGAAGCGUCUUAGUACUCGUAGGAAAAGAAAUCAAUAGAGAUGCCGUGAGUAACAGCGAGCGAAAGCGGUAAAAAGCAAACUGAAUCUUCUGUAGAAAUAUAGAAGAGAUGUGGUGUUGUAGGACUUACUUAAGAUCUUAAUCAGAUGAGUUGAAGUUUUCUGGAAAGUUAUACUAUAAAGGGUGAUAGUCCCGUAAACUAAAUCUGGAAAGAUUUGUAAGUAUCCUGAGUACCAUGUAUUGGAUAUUACAUGGGAAUUUAGGAGGUAUUAACUUCUAACUUUAAAUACAUUUUAAGUCCGAUAGCGCAUAGUACUGUGAAGGAACGUUGAAAAGAACCUGUGAUAGGGAGUGAAAAGAUCCUGAAACCUAACGGUUACAGCAUGAUACUGCUCUACGGAGUUGUAUCGUACGUUUCGAAUAACGGGCCAGGGAGUGUAUCCAAGUGGCGAGAAUAAUCCUUAUUGGAGUAUUCAUAGGGAAACCAAAUAUCUGCAGUUUACGAGAGAUGAGGUGUGAAAGUGCCUUAAGUCACUUGAAUACGACCCGAAACCGGACGAUCUAACCCAAAAUAAGAUGAAGCCUUGGUAAUACGGGGUGGAGGUCUGUAGCGGUGCUGCGGGCAUGCGUUCGUGUAAUUUUGGGUUAGGGGUGAAAAGCCAAUCGAGUUCGGUGAUAGCUGGUUCCUGCCGAAAUAGGCUUAAGUCUAGUCUGAGAGGAGAUUACCAAGAAGGUAGAGCUACGGAUUUGGAAAUCCGGGGGUGAAAGCCUUCGCUUCCUCGUCCAACUCCAAAUAUCUUGGUGUCAUAGAAUCUUGGAAACGGCGGCUCUGGGGUAAGCUUGAGUUGCUAUGGGGGAACAACCCUUUCUGUAGUUAAGGUCCCUAAAUACUAUUUAAGUGUUAACGGGUAAAAAGUGUUAGUAAUCCGAGACAGCUGGGAGGUAUGCUUAGAAGCAGCAAUCCUUUAAAGAAAGCGUAAUAGCUCACCAGUCAAGAUUAUUAGCCUUGAAAAUGGACGGGGCUAAAAUAGUUACCGAUACUACAGACUUCUUUGUAUAAAGAAAGUGGUAGGCAGGCUUUCUUAGUGGGCAGAAGCUUCUUUGUAAAAAGGUGUGGACCAUUAAGAAAAGAGAAUCCUGGUGGUAGUAAGAUCUAAACAUGGUGAGAAUCCAUGAUACCGAAAGAGCAAGGGUUUCUUAGCAAUGUCAAUCAGCUAAGAGUAAGUUAAUCCUAACCCACUUCUUAACUGUUUGUGGGGAAUGGGAAACAGGUUAAUAUUCCUGUACUACUUAGGUACAUGCGGUAACGCAGGUUUAUUUGCUGACGUUUUGGGCUAAAACAACAUCUUUUUUUGGAUGCUAACUGAGAUAUUUCCAGGGAGUAUCGUAAUGGUGAGAACUGGAAAAAAUCAGGAAUGGCUGCAUUAAUGUAGUUUAUUUGAUGCCUGGAACCCGUGAAAAGGCAAAUAGAAAGGAUCCUAAGUAUUUAUACCGAGAACCAGCACUGGUGCUCUGGGUGAGAAGCCCAAGGUAUGAGGGUUUAAACUAAUUGAGGGAAUUCGGCAAAUUAGUUCUGUGCCUUUGGUAUAAGGAAUCCCUGUUUUCGUAUCUGCAUAGAUGCGUCUUCAGGGCUCAGUGACUAGGAGGAACCGACUGUUUAAUAAAAACUUAACAAUCCGCUAGCCUGUAAAGGUGUGUAUGGGUUGUGACGUCUGCCCAGUGCCUGUAUCUGAAACCUCUUUUCAAGGAGACGAAGGACAGGUAAACGGCGGGAAUAACUAUAAUUCUCUUAAGGUAAGCACGGAGUUGCCUUAACAAAAUCUGGCUAUAUGCUGGAAAAUCUCACGAAUCUUAUGAUAGGAUACUUUAUUAGCAAUAAUAAAGCGGACCCUAAAAAUUCAUAAGUGGAGACGAUCAGCAGGAAAGACUAGAUAAAAAAUAUCUAGAAUCCUCAGAGACUAUACGCCAGAACUCAAAUUAAUUUUGAGUAAGAUAUAGUCCGACCCAUUAGGCGACUAAUGGAGAUAUGCAGAGAUGUAUAUCCGCCUUAAAUUAAGGUCAGUACCUUUUAUAGGGAAAGUAACAGAUGUGAGCGAAAUACCUUGUCGUUUGAAUGACGACGCGCAUGAAUGGCGUAACGAGUUCCUCACUGUCCCCAAUUAGUGUCCCCUGAACACACUAUACUGGUGCAAAAGCCAGUGACUUCCAGUGGGAAGCGAAGACCCCGUAGAACUUUACUGUAGCUUGUUGUUGUGAUGUAAAUUUUGGAGUGCAGUAUAGGUGGGAGUUGUUAAAACCUAGUCGCUAGGUUAGGUCUAGACAAAAGUGAGAUACCACCCUUCAGAAUUUAUAUCACUAAUUUCCUUUUUAGGAAAAACAGCAGCUGGCGGACAGUUUGGCUGGGGCGGCACCCUGCUGAAAAGAUAUCAGCAGGGCCCAAAGGUUGACUCAUCCAGUUUAGAAAUCUGGAGCAGAGUGCAAGAGCAAAAGUCAGCCUGACUGAAUUUCAAAAAGCACGAAAUUCAGAGACGAAAGUCUGGUCUAGCGAACCCCUAAGUCCUCAUUAAUAGGGGCUAGGGAUGACAGAAAAGCUAUCUCGGGGAUAAUUGAGUUGUAGCGCCUAAGAGCUCAUAUCGACGGCGCUGCUUGCUACUUCGAUGUCGGCUCACCGUAUCCUGGCUGUGCAGAAGCAGCCAAGGGUGGGGGUGUUCACCCAUUAAAACGGUUCGUGAGCUGGGUUAAGAACGUUGUGAGACAGUUUGUAUGAUAUCUACUGGAAGUGUAAAAUGUCUGAGAGCAAGGAUCCCUUAGUACGAGAGGAACGGGGGUUCGUGGCCUCUGGUUAAUCGGUUAUCUUACAAGGUAGGCCGAGCAGCUACGCCAUAAGGGAUAACUCCUGAAAGCAUCUAAGGAGGAAACUCCACUCAAAAAGAGACAU
rnacentral:rRNA from 1 species